GAUGAACGCUAGCUACAGGCUUAACACAUGCAAGUCGAGGGGCAGCAUGAACUUAGCUUGCUAAGUUUGAUGGCGACCGGCGCACGGGUGCGUAACGCGUAUCCAACCUUCCCGUUACUCAGGUAUAGCCUUGCGAAAGUAAGAUUAAUCCCUGAUGACAUAUGUUUACUGCAUGGUGAUCAUAUUAAAGAUUUAUCGGUAACGGAUGGGGAUGCGUUCCAUUAGGUAGUUGGUGAGGUAACGGCUCACCAAGCCCGCGAUGGAUAGGGGUUCGGAGAGGAAGGUCCCCCACACUGGAACUGAGACACGGUCCAGACUCCUACGGGAGGCAGCAGUGAGGAAUAUUGGUCAAUGGGCGGAAGACUGAACCAGCCAAGUAGUGUGAGGGAUGACUGCCCUAUGGGUUGUAAACCUCUUUUAUAUGGGAAUAAAAAAGAUUACGUGUAGUCUAUUGUAUGUACCUUAUGAAUAAGCAUCGGCUAAUUCCGUGCCAGCAGCCGCCGUAAGAC
rnacentral:rRNA from 1 species